AGUCCUUUUUUUCAUAAAACUUGGCCCAUAGAAAAUAAUAUGGGCUAGCUUAUUGGGUCACAUAAAUUAUGAUUUCAUUUUUUUGAGUCCAAAAUUAAAUUGCUUUCAUUUGGGAGAAAGAGAAACCUGAAAGGGGAAGAAGAAGAAGAAGAAGAUGAUCCAUCGCAAGUGGAGUCUCCUUACAGGCCCGGUCACCAUCCUCGGCGGCGUAGUCGCGGCCAUUGCCGCCGCUAAUUUAAUCUUCGUUAAGAAUGAUCCAUUCACUAAACCACAACAGCUGAAGUUUGAAAAUCAACCCGCAACCAAGUAGGAGAAAAGAUGUAACAGUAGUUUGCAUUUUUAUGUCAUCCAAACUUUGAUUUAUGAGCACUGUUUGCUAUACAUGCUCUCUAGUUAAUAAUACUGAGACCUUGGAUGAUGUAUGGACUCUGGAGCAAUGAACCUUAUAUUAGAACUAACCUAAAGUUCUAGAAAACUGGUUCACAUUUCAGAGAUCCUUGCUUCUCUUUUCUGUACAAUGUCAAGAAAUGUGUAUUGUGGUUUCUAA